rnacentral:snRNA from 1 species
AUCCUUGAAUUUCCUGGGACAUCUGAUAAAAUUGGAACGAUACAGAGAAGAUUAGCAUGGC